ACCUGGAUGGCUCCGUUGUUUAGAGCAUGGUGCUGAUAACUCCAAGGUUGCAGGUUCAAUCCCCACAGGGGGUU